UACGUAGGGUGCAAGCGUUGUCCGGAAUUAUUGGGCGUAAAGAGCUCGUAGGCGGUUUGUUGCGUCGGCUGUGAAAUCCCGAGGCUCAACCUCGGGUCUGCAGUCGAUACGAGCAAACUAGAGUGUUGCAGGGGAGACUGGAAUUCCUGGUGUAGCGGUGAAAUGCGCAGAUAUCAGGAGGAACACCGGUGGCGAAGGCGGGUCUCGUGGGCAACAACUGACGCUGGAGGAGCGAAAGCGUGGGGAGCGAACAGG
rnacentral:rRNA from 1 species